rnacentral:rRNA from 1 species
UGGGGAAUAUUGGACAAUGGGGGGAACCCUGAUCCAGCCAUGCCGCGUGUGUGAAGAAGGCCUUAUGGUUGUAAAGCACUUUAAGCGAGGAGGAGGGUACUGGUAUUAAUACUACCAGGUACUGGACGUUACUCGCAGAAUAAGCACCGGCUAACUCUGUGCCAGCAGCCGCGGUAAUACAGAGGGUGCGAGCGUUAAUCGGAUUUACUGGGCGUAAAGCGUGCGUAGGCGGCUAAUUGAGUCGGAUGUGAAAUCCCCGAGCUUAACUUGGGAAUUGCAGUCGAUACUGGUUAGCUAGAGUGUGGGAGAGGGUGAUAGAAUUCCAGGUGUAGCGGUGAAAUGCGUAGAGAUCUGGAGGAAUACCGAUGGCGAAGGCAGCCAUCUGGCCUAACACUGACGCUGAGGUACGAAAGCAUGGGGAGCAAACAGG